rnacentral:rRNA from 1 species
AACGAACGCUGGCGGCAUGCCUAACACAUGCAAGUCGAACGAGACCUUCGGGUCUAGUGGCGCACGGGUGCGUAACACGUGGGAAUCUGCCCUUUGCUUCGGAAUAACAGUUAGAAAUGACUGCUAAUACCGGAUGAUGUCGAAAGACCAAAGAUUUAUCGGCAAAGGAUGAGCCCGCGUAGGAUUAGGUAGUUGGUGUGGUAAAGGCCUACCAAGCCGACGAUCCUUAGCUGGUCUGAGAGGAUGAUCAGCCACACUGGGACUGAGACACGGCCCAGACUCCUACGGGAGGCAGCAGUGGGUAAUAUUGGACAAUGGGCGAAAGGCUGAUCCAGCAAUGCCGCGUGAGUGAUGAAGGCCGUAGGGUUGUAAAGCUCUUUUACCAGGGAUGAUUCUGACAGUACCUGGAGAAUAAGCACCGGCUAACUCCGUG